GAGCUGUUUUCAGAUAUAUGUUCACUUUGAGGAAAAGAACAACAGACCUUCUGUGAGAGAGAGAAAGAAAGAAAAAAAAAAAAAAAGGGCUCUUUAAUCUAGCUGAAAGGUGGAAAAUACCUCAGUGCAUGCUCCUUCUGGUAUAAACAACAGUGUUAGGGAAAAGGCUUCUUUUCUCCAUACCAAGAAACAUUUAGGACCCAGAACCUAGAUUCCAUCUCUUCUGUACUUCCCUGGUUACUUUACCCCAAUGAACUUUGGACUCCAGGGGGAAAGUCUAAAAAUACUAGAGCCUAUUUUUUCAAAAGCAAGUAACAAAGAUGGAAGGGGCUUGCUUUUGCCUUAGGGAAAAAAGGGAUAUAAAAUCUUAAUGUUUUCAUUUUUAAACUCUACACCAAAGCCAGACCUUGGAAUAUGGUUAUUUUUAUUUUUAAUAGGCAAUGUAGAGACAAGGUAGCACACAUUCAAAUGGCUCAAAAGGAAAUGAAAGGUUAUUCUCCCUUCCAACCCAGCCUGCCAGCACUCCAGUUCCUCUUGCUGUGGCCAGUUUCUUAUGGCUCCUUCCAGAGAUAAUAUUCUCUGCAUAAUGAAACAUUGAAGUAUGUGUGUGUGUGUGUGUGUGUGUGUGUGUGUGUGUGUGUGUGUGUAUUUAUGUGUUCAUGCAUGGGCACCCUCUCUGAGUUCUCUUUUAACCUAAAUAGUUGCAUCCUAUACACAUUCUCUUGCCUCUUGCUUUUUUUUUUAAAUUAAAAAUUGUCUUAAGGACAAUUUCAUAUCAGGACAUAGAGACCAAUCUUCUUAUUUUAACAGCUCUAUAGAAGCCCAAUGAGGUAUGUAUCAUAAUUUAAUGAACCAGCUUCCUUUUGGUGGGAACUUAAGCUCUUUUGAUUCGUUUGCCCUUACAACAUUGGAAUGAAUACUUUCCACAUACCUUACAAUGUGAAAUAUUUUGGAAUCUUGAACUGCCAUGAUGUAAAUUUCUUCUUACAUCUUUCCUCUUCUGUGGUUGCAAGUUUCUCCCAAACUCAGCAGAAAACUUCAGCAAACUUAAUUAUAUUUUAUUUUUGAAAUAAUAACUGUAUGCCAGUGUAUAGUGCUGAUUUCUGGAUGUGGGAUUUCUCUCUGGUUUAGUUUAGAUGUUACCAAUCUAGUCAGGGAAGACAAAAGUUCGAUCAAUGUUUUCACGCUGCUACUAGAUCAGUUAUUGAGUAAAUAUGACCCUUUUUGCUACAGUGGUAAGGUCACAAAAGUCACCUUAACAUCCUGAGGAAAUCAAUUCCAACAAUGGUCUAGGAAUAGCCUCUGACUCAGGGAUUUCUGGAUGCAUAGAAUUUCUGCCUCUGCAUUGAUAAGGUCAUACAUAUGUAUGUACCAGAACACAGAGUUCCCUGGGGCUUUGGUUUUCAACUUUGAAUGAAUAGAAACUGGAACACAUUUGAAAUGAGAUUGAAGGCUGUGGGAAUAGUGGAGCUUUGUAUUUUUAUUUUUUAAAUAGAUAGCAUGUUUUGGAGAUGGAUAAAUAAGGAUCUAGCCAUGUAGGGAUAGUGAUGUAAUCUUUCCAGCCAUCAGAUGCAGGGCCAUGCAAAGAUACCAAGGUUGUCUUUUAAAGCUGGAAGCUUCCUACCUCAGGACUUAAUUGCUAGAGAAGAUCUGUUCUCUGACUGAUAAAGGAAAAGGAAUAAGAUAUUGAGGAGGAGAGCAGGCAGUACCAAGGCAGUGAAAGAGCAGGUUAAGGGUUAGAAGAGACCUGUACUUUAGUUUAAGCACUGCAUGAUGUUAAUUAGGACAAGGUCAGAAAGCCCAGGUCAAACUUAAGUAUUAAAAAGGGAAUGUAUUUGGAGUUCCCUGUCAUGGUGCAGUGGAAACGAAUCUGACUAGGAACCAUGAGGCCAGGGAUCAAACCAACAACUUCAUGGUUCUUAGUUGGAUUUGUUUCUGCUGCGCCACGAUGGGAACUCCCAGAGUACUUUUAUUAAAUAAAUGGGGACAUGAGUACUUGGUGCUCCCAAACUCAAAAUAUCUACAACAGCCUCUCAUUGACAUCUGACUUUGGCUCACCUAACUUCAUAUUGUUGUGGCGGCUGUCAGCAGCCCAAGGCUGGAGUGUAUCAGCUCUGGUGGCAGCCCUAUGGCCAGUGUACCAGCUCUAGCAGCUCUUUCACCCGGUGAGAAACCAAGCAAGAACUUAGAGAGUUGGAGAACUCAGGUUUAUUAUGCCGGUGGGCUCAGAGGAGAUCGCUCUCUGGAGUCUGAGUCCCGAAGAGGGGUUUCACAAGGCUUUUAUGGGCUAGUUCUUCUGGAUCCAUGCUUGGCAGACCAGAGUGAGAACUGGCAAAGUAAUAGAUGCGGAAACAAGUUUACAGAAGCAGAUGUGUAGGGAAGGGGUGGUUGGGGCAGUUGGCUAGACUUUGCUUAGUCAUCAUGGCUGGGGUCUCUCCUUUCUACCUUUUUAUCAGGACAUUUUCUCCUAGAAUAUUGUCUUACUUUCCUUAUUGGUAAAAACUAGUUGAACUUGAUCAUCUUUGUGAUCUCCCCUCCACUUCUAAAUGAUUUUUCUUUUUUCUUUGAAUCCUUUGCUUUUUUACGUUUACUGAGCAUUUAACCUCAACAAGUAUUUUCCUAGUUCCAAUCCUGACUGUACUUUAAUAUGUCUAUGAAACACAUAUGUACCUAAAAACAAAAGUAUAAUAUGUACAAUCUAAUAAUAAGCUAGGUAUGAAGAGCAACGUGAACCCAGAAGAGGGAGCAAUCAAUUCACUUGAGACUAUAACAUCUGAAUCUAGUGUGAAGCUUGACCAGUCUUUGCUAAAUCUGUGAUGCCAGACUAGCAGGUAGGAUACAUGCAAUGAAAGUGUGGAGCUGGAAUUACUUAAAAGGGGAAAAGUACAGUGGCAAAUUUACAAAGAUUUAUGUAUCGACUUUUUUUUCCUUCUAAUUGUCCCCAAAGAAAGUAAGGACAAUAUAGAGAUAGAUCAGAAGGUAUUGACCAAAUAAUUAAAGAGUGGACAAGCAUGAUUUCUGAGCAAGUAUCAUGGAAGUGAGUUAGGAAAUGAAUGCUGGCAAAUAAUUGCACAAUAAUUUUAAUAAAACAUUGUCAAGAAACAAAACAAAUAUAACUUCAGUAAACAAAAUGUAACCACACCACUGUCAUCACCGUCAGAACAGCAGAGUGACUUAUGGUACAUAACCCAGUGAAGUCAGAAAUCAGUUAACAAUGGAGAUUGGAUUUUUCCUCUAAAAUCUCAGAACAUAGAAGAGUCUCCCUUGUGAUGGAUUAUGUGUUCAUACUUGAAGUCAGAGGAAUGAAUUAGAAGACUUCUUAAAGCCCUCAGGUCCUCACAUUCUAAUAUUUUGCUUUACCUCCAUGGUUGUUCUGUGAAGUGACUUUACCCCAAAUGAAGAAUUGCUGCUGCAUAAUGGUUGAUGCUUAUUAGAGACAAAUGUGCUGGUCCAGGGAACUAUAUUAAACAGUGUAAAGGAAAUGCCAUUCUCUAAAUGGGAGGAGGGGGAAUAACAACCAAAAAUUAUAUUGAGAAUUAAUUAUAUAUUAUAUUGAAAUUAUAUUCAAAUUUAUAAAAAAUUUAUAUUCUCUUCAAGCAUAUUCUUCUUGAGAACAAUAAAAGGCCUCACAGAGCCAAUCAUUAUAAAAGCAGGAACUGCUAGAAUAGGAGGGGGUUAAUCAGGGAUGAAAGAUUGAGUUUUCCUACUCUACUUUCCCUUUCUAAUCCAGUUCUUUUCUAAAGCAAAUCCUUCAGAGACUAAAUGUAUUCACUUCUCUAGGAGAGUUAAUUACAGUCUUAUUUAGAAAUAAGAGAGUACCUUACUUUACCCUUUAAAGUUCCUUCAGGACUAUUGUGAUUCUACUAAAAUGCUUUAGGCAUUAAAUAGAGUCAGAAAACUGAAUAUGCAUUCUUGGCUCCAAGAGAAAAAGGAAAAAAAAA
rnacentral:lncRNA from 1 species